UACGUAGGGGGCAAGCGUUGUCCGGAUUUAUUGGGCGCAAAGAGCGUGCAGGCGGUUUGGUAGGUCCGCUGUGAAAACUCGAGGCUCAACCUCGAGACGCCGGUGGAAACCAUCAGACUAGAGUCCGGAAGAGGAGAGUGGAAUUCCUGGUGUAGCGGUGAAAUGCGCAGAUAUCAGGAGGAACACCGAUGGCGAAGGCAGGUCUCUGGGCAUUAACUGACGCUGAGGAGCGAAAGCAUGGGGAGCGAACAGG
rnacentral:rRNA from 1 species